CCCGGGCGUAGCGCAGAGGCAGGCGCACCCACCUGGCUGAGGUGGGACACACCGGUUCGAAUCCGUUCCCCGGGC
rnacentral:tRNA from 1 species